rnacentral:ncRNA from 1 species
UGCAUCCCUUCCAAAAGUCGGGGUUUCUUGCACGUAUUAGCUCUAGAAUUACUUGUCUCUUCUACCGGCGAUACACUCCUAGUCUUAACUGGUCGGAUCGUGCCUCUGGUGCUGUUACUUUGAAGAAAUUGGAGUGCCUAAAAAAAGCCUACGCUCUGUAUACAUUAGCAUGGGAUAACAUUAUAUAAUUCCGGUUCUAUUGUGUUGGCCUUCGGGAUCGAAGUAAUGAUUAGCAGGGAUAGUCGGGGGCAUUCGUAUUUCAUAGUUAGAGGUGAAAUUCUUGGAUUUAUGAAAGACAAACAACUAGGGUUUGUAAAAAACAACUAGGGUUUGUUUGUUA